AGUGGCGGACGGGUGGAGUAACGCGUGGAGUAACCUGCCUCGUACUGGGGAAGUAGCAGCUGGAAACGGACUGGUAAUACCGCAUAAGACGCACGAUGCCGCAUGGCAAUGUGUGAAAGAUUUAUCGGUACGAGAUGGAUCCGCGUCUGAUUAGCCAGUUGGCGGGUAACGGCCCACCAAGCGACGAUCAGUAGCCGGCCUGAGAGGGUGAACGGCCACAUUGGGACUGAGACACGGCCCAGACUCCUACGGGAGGCAGCAGUGGGGAAUAUUGCACAAUGGGCGAAAGCCUGAUGCAGCGAACCGCCGCGUGAGUGAAGAAGUAUUUCGGUAUGUAAAGCUCUAUCAGCAGGGAAGAAAGGCCCGAAAGGGAGAUGACGGUACCUGACUAAGAAGCCCCGGCUAACUACGUGCCAGCCGCUGC
rnacentral:rRNA from 1 species